CGAGCGAGCUUGCCUAGAUGAUUUUAGUGCUUGCACUAAAUGAAACUAGAUACAAGCGAGCGGCGGACGGGUGAGUAACACGUGGGUAACCUGCCCAAGAGACUGGGAUAACACCUGGAAACAGAUGCUAAUACCGGAUAACAACACUAGACGCAUGUCUAGAGUUUGAAAGAUGGUUCUGCUAUCACUCUUGGAUGGACCUGCGGUGCAUUAGCUAGUUGGUAAGGUAACGGCUUACCAAGGCAAUGAUGCAUAGCCGAGUUGAGAGACUGAUCGGCCACAUUGGGACUGAGACACGGCCCAAACUCCUACGGGAGGCAGCAGUAGGGAAUCUCCCACAAUGGACGAAAGUCUGAUGGAGCAACGCCGCGUGAGUGAAGAAGGGUUUCGGCUCGUAAAGCUCUGUUGGUAGUGAAGAAAGAUAGAGGUAGUAACUGGCCUUUAUUUGACGGUAAUUACUUAGAAAGUCACGGCUAACUACGUGCCAGCAGCCGCGGUAAUACGUAGGUGGCAAGCGUUGUCCGGAUUUAUUGGGCGUAAAGCGAGUGCAGGCGGUUCAAUAAGUCUGAUGUGAAAGCCUUCGGCUCAACCGGAGAAUUGCAUCAGAAACUGUUGAACUUGAGUGCAGAAGAGGAGAGUGGAACUCCAUGUGUAGCGGUGGAAUGCGUAGAUAUAUGGAAGAACACCAGUGGCGAAGGCGGCUCUCUGGUCUGCAACUGACGCU
rnacentral:rRNA from 1 species